CCUACGGGAGGCAGCAGUCGAGAAUCAUUCACAAUGGGGGAAACCCUGAUGGUGCGACGCCGCGUGGGGGAAUGAAGGUCUUCGGAUUGUAAACCCCUGUCAUGUGGGAGCAAAUUAAAAAGAUAGUACCAUAAGAGGAAGAGACGGCUAACUCUGUGCCAGCAGCCGCGGUAAUACAGAGGUCUCAAGCGUUGUUCGGAAUCACUGGGCGUAAAGCGUGCGUAGGCUGUUUCGUAAGUCGUGUGUGAAAGGCGCGGGCUCAACCCGCGGACGGCACAUGAUCCUGCGAGACUAGAGUAAUGGAGAGGGAAGCGGAAUUCCAGGUGUAGCAGUGAAAUGCGUAGAUAUCGGGAAGAACACUCAUGGCGAAGGCAGGUUCCUGGACAUUAACUGACGCUGAGGCACGAAGGCCAGGGGAGCGAAAAGGAUUAGAUACCCCAGUAGUC
rnacentral:rRNA from 1 species